AAGGAGUCUAACAUAUCUGCGAGUAUUUGGGUGUCAAACCCGAGUGCGCAAUGAAAGUGAACGUAGGAGCGAUCCGCAAGGUGCAGCCUCGACCGAUCUGGAUCUUUAGAGAUGGAUUUGAGUAAGAGCAUAUAUGUUGGGACCCGAAAGAUGGUGAACUAUGCCUGAAUAGGGUGAAGCCAGAGGAAACUCUGGUGGAGGCUCGUAGCGAUUCUGACGUGCAAAUCGAUCGUCAAAUUUGGGUAUAGGGGCGAAAGACUAAUCGAACCAUCUAGUAGCUGGUUCCUGC
rnacentral:misc_RNA from 1 species